GACGAACGCUGGCGGCGUGCUUAACACAUGCAAGUCGAACGGAAAGGCCCGGCGUUUGUGGGGUGCUCGAGUGGCGAAGGGGUGAGUAACACGCGAGUAACCUGCCCUUGACUGUGGGAUAACUUCAGGAAACUCGGGCUAAUACCGGAUAGGAGCUCCUGCUGCAUGUGGGGGGUUGGAAAGUGUCGGCGGUUGUGGAUGGACUCGCGGCUUAUCAGCUUGUUGGGGUGGUAGUGGCUUACCAAGGUUUUGACGGGUAGCCCGCCUGAGAGGGUGACCGGCCACCUUGGGACUGCGAUACGCACCAGAAUCCUACGGGAGGCAGCAGUGGGGAACCUUGCACAGUGGGCCGAAGCCUGAUGCAGCAAUGUCGCGUGCGGGAUGCCGGCCUUCGGGUUGUAAACCGCUUUCGCCUGUGCCGAAGCGUGCGUGACGGUAAUGGGUCAAGAAGCCACGGCUAACUACGUG
rnacentral:rRNA from 1 species